rnacentral:lncRNA from 1 species
AAGUUCUAUUAAUACAUGAGAGUUUGACUUGAAUGUCAGACUUUAUAGUAAUUAGAUAAGACUCAGCUGCUUUUUGGCUGACUACCAAAUUUUAAUCUCUGUGUUUGUUUUCCGCCCUUUGGCCCACUUUCUCUGACAGCCAGCAUUCUGAGAGACAAGUGGUAGAAGAUACCUGGAAGUCUCACUAUUUUACAUUUCUAUGUUAAUCAAUUAAACUUCCUGAGUUUGGGCUGAACACAUGGUGUAUUAAUUUAUUCUUGCAUUGCUAUAAAGGACUACCAGAGACUGGGUAAUUUAUAAAGAAAAGAGGUUUAAUUGGCUCACAGCUCUGAAGGCUGUACUGGAAGCAUGCCUGGGAAGGUCUCAGGAAACUCACAAUCAAGACAGAAGGUUUUUCUAUAAUGUAUCACCAGCAACUAUGGUGAUGACAGCUUUUGGAACAUCCUUUCAUUAUUUCAAAAGUAAAUAAUCUAAUAUGGUUUAAUUACUUGAGCCUCAACGACAACAAAGAAGAAGAACAUAGGUUCCUGGCUUUUUUUGUUUGUUUUUUGAGACUGAAACUUUUGGGGAAACUCUAUGUAUAGUCACAUAGAAUACAGUGCAAAUAAAGUAAUAACUUGACCCCAAACAGAAACUUCAA